rnacentral:lncRNA from 1 species
UUUUUUUUUUUUUUUUUUUAAUAUUUAAAAAUAUUAAAUGAUUUUUUUUUAGUUUUUAAUAAUUUUUUAAUAAAAAAAUGGAUCCGGAUCAAGUCACGUCAGCAAUUAACUGAAAAACUGACGGAGGUAUGACAUUGGCACAAAUUCGUAAGAUGAGGUAUGACAUUGAAAGUGUCGUGACACCAAUACUUGAGGUAAUUUUUUGUAGUUUACCCAUCAAAAUCCCUAUUUGCACUUCCACCUUUUACCUUCAGAUACAAAAGGCAACACAUUUUUAUAGAUUUGCUGCUCUCCCAUGGCUCCCACCGGGAAUCCAAAUCCCCCAGCCACCGCGGCCACAGCAUCAACCUCAACCUUUCGACAUGGACAAAUCAUUUAAACUCACAAACCCAGCACCUGUUAUGCACAAAUCUUCAAGAACAUGCAAACCCCAGACUACUCGCUUGCCUUUUCUUGCUAGUAUCGCUUAACGUACAGCUAAAUACCGAGCUUUCGCUCGGGAUUAGAUAACGGGACUGGAAAAUACAAGUGACAAUAUUGUGGGAUUUUUUCUUGGGGAUGAAUUGAUCGAUUUUGAUUUCUCACUUCUGAAAAUGACAAAGCAGAGGAGGAGAGUGAAGGUGUGAGGUAAGAGGGAAAGAAGAAAGAGUUUGACUGUUUGUACCAGGCAGCAUCUCAGAAGCAUGUCAAGUACCAAUUCAGGGGAAAAUAGAAUCAAUAGAUCCACUGCCUGGCCACUGGUGCAAACAUUUUGGAGAUAAUGUAAGACCUCCAAGCAUGUCAAGUACCAUACUACCAGGAAGAUCAUAUGAAAGACCCAAUAAAAUGAUUGAAUCAACUACAACUGUAAGGAUAAUGAUGCACGUCUAACGAAUUAAAAUAUGAACAUGUUUUGAAUGAUCUUAUUUGAUCAUUCUCUUCUACGCUAAGAUUAGUAACCGAAAACAAAUGCAGCUAUUCAACAAACUCAAUAGUGCCACAACAUUUGUUUUCAAAUGUUCAAAUAACCAAAACAAGUACAAACAACGUAAUGUACCUAAGAUUUCAACGACACUCGGCAAUAUCGCUGCAGCAUUAUAUACCCCUGCUUAACGUUAUCAGAGACAGCAACAACACACCGCAGAAUAAUAAAUACUCGAAGUAAAACAGGAGAUAACACUCUGCCACAAUAACAACCUCAAAUAAACACAUAGGAGCACACCGAUGGCCAGUCAUUAUCCAUGGAAAGAUCGAAUAGACAAAGUAAGCAGUUAAACGCUACAGAAUUCUUAAUUAACAUUUACUAAAACCUUAAACAUGAUCUUUCUAGACAUCAACACAAACAUCUCGACUUGGUAUACCUGAUCCAACAUUCUAAUGGCCGGAUGACUUUAAAGCCUCCAGAAUCACCUUCGUCUGAUCUCUCAUUAACUCGCUCCGCUUCACAAAAAGCUCCAAUUCAGCAACAUGCAGCUUCCUCCACUUGUCCUUCAACUCAGCUCUCUUGGACUCUCCAAUCAACUCCAAACCUUGUUUCACCACACCCUCCGGUAAUCCCAGCUCCCUGAAACUCUUGUCAAACCCAAUCACCUCACUCAAACUUUCCAAAGAGCACGGAUUCAGACCCAAAUCCAACUUCGCGGCCUCUUUUGAACGCUCCGGUGAGCUCAAAAUAUCAGCUUUUAUCGAAGCCAGAGUCUUGGUAUUCCUAGCCUUCCCAUUAGACUUUGGCUGUUCAGAUGGCCCGUUGUCACCACUGGGCCCUUCGCCGCUGCCGCCCCAUACCUUCUUCGACAAGUCAAACACCUUCUGGUCAUGAGGUUUUGUAAGAUUAUACUUCUUCUUCUUCACAUUAGUCGCAUACUUCUUCUUCAGCCGACGAAUCUUAGCUUGCAAUUGGGAUUUGUUCACAUCCACCUUCAGCGAUUUCUUGAUAAAGUCAUGGAACGCACCCAUAUCGGAAUACGGGUCCGCCCCUUUCUUGCUGGUAUAAUCAACCAUGCCUUUCAAGAUAAUUACCUCAUCCUCAUCGCUCCAAAUCCUCUGGAACAGCUUGGACUUCUUCGCUUCCUCCUCGACCUGGUCCGGAUCCUGCUCCGUCGCAGCUCCCUUCUUCUUUGGCCGCUUUGAAUCCUUGGGCUCGGUCUCGCUGGGCCGUUUGGACCCGGAUUUCGCCGCCGGCGUAGCAGUAGCCGCGGGCUUUGAUCUGGGCUUCUUUGUCUUCGGCGUCUCUUCCAUUGGCUUCGAAGCAAUCGGCUUCACCACCAAAUCCUUAUCCACAUCGGAAUCGGAAUCGUCCUCGGAACCAGAGGAUGAAGACUGCGGCUUGGAAUUGGCGGCAGAGGAGUCCGGUUUCUUGGGCGGUGGCUUCUUCUCGGCAACCGGUGCUGAAGACGAGGUCUUCGGAGGCAGAGGCUCUUCGGGUUCGGAAUCUGACCCAGAUCCGGAUUCCUCUUCUUCCCCUUCUUCUUCCUCCGACGAGACUUCCUGACCUUCCGACGAAGAAGCUGCCGGCGGUUCGUCCAGCGGAGAUGGGCGUUUGGGAGCCAUGGAAGGAGAUGGAGAUUUGGGGUUUUAGGGAAUUAGGGAUUCGAACUCUGCAAGUGAGGGGAGAGAGUGAAUUUUUUUUUUUGGGUAAUUUUGUGUGAGCGAGCGAAACAGCAAAUAUAAGAGUUUCUCUCCUCUGAUAGGCUGCCUACACAAGAGAUGAGAUAACUUUUUAUCUAAAAACCUAACACAAAUCAUUGAUUCUGAUAGACAUUACUGUUUAGUUCAUGAUUAUCUAGUCUUCUAGUUCAUGUAAAUCACCGUAUGUACAUAAACAUAUAUAUAUAUUUUUUAUUUAUUUAUUUAUUUAUUUAUUUAUUUAUGCUGAAUCAUCUUGAGCAUCGUUUUGUUGGCUCACUUUUGUCAAGGCCGUCAUGGAAACAAGAGCAUGGUAAACUUGAAAACUGUUUCACUUUUUAUUUAUGCUUAAUUUCCUUAUUUUCAGUCUUGUAUUCAAAGUUGUGUGCUAUAUUUGUUUUAUUUUAGAAUAGUUUUCUUGAAUUUUUUCAAGAAUUCAAAACUAGCUAGGGUUUUUAUACAAUUAUAUGUAUUGGCUUCAUAACUCGUGUAUUAGCAACUAAGAAGAUAUCUCAAACCUUCCAAGGUUGUUUGGGAACUAAGAAGAUACCUCAAACCUUCCAAGAAACACUUGUACUGAAAGCUCUAAUUAGGAGAAGUAUUUCUUACAUAAGCAACUCUAAUUAGGAGAAGUAUUUCUUACAUGAGCAAUUCCAAGCAGACCCUAAGCUUUGAAUUUGAAAAGUUUGUGUUCUUCCCAUAGUAUUUUAAUUUUGCUUUUUAUCAUCUCUUCCACUGUAAUAUCAUAAAAUAAAAAUUUGUAUCUUCUGAUGACGAAUUUAACUAAGUUUCUUCAUGUAUAGUAAACGUGUGGCGCCUCGACAAGUAGUGCUCCCCUUUGAAAUUAUCAUUGAGAUUUUGAGCUUGUUGACUGUGGAGGCUUUGCUGAGAUUCAAGUGUGUGUGCAAACAAUGGUGUUUGUUGAUUCAAGACUGCAAGUUCUUUGUUAAACACAGGGAUCGUACCAGUUAUGUUUAGCCACUUUCUUAUCGAUACAACCAUAAAAGUCGCAAGACAGUCGCUCUUUCUAAAGAAGAUUUCAAGCUUAGUUGUCAUUGUGCUGGUUUUUAUGUGGAGUUGAGUGUCACUUCUCAAAUUUGCCGUAUUAGAAAUCCUGCAACCCGCCAAGUACUUUACUUGCCUGAUGCUCCCAAGGGUACAAGAAUACUGGACCUCGCUUUUAAUUCGCUUACUGGCGAGUGUAAAGUGGCAUCUAUUUACCGCAAAAAGGCAAAGAAGACGGGUUAUUUAGUAGGGCUUGAAGUUAUAACUAUUGGAAAGGAUGAGAAAUGGAGACCCUUGAAAUAUGCAAGCCCUAAUUUACUCAAGCGCGGCCAAUGGUUGCUUCAACAAAGUUGUUGUGUUAAAGAUAAGGUUGAAUGGAUUGUUCAUUUACCUGAAAUUAUAAAACAAGGACAAGAUUUGCGUGUACAAAUUCAAUCUCUCGAGCCGUGGAGUGAACGCGUCACUAGCACUGUUCUUCCUAGAGGAGUUUUCUCCGAUUUGACCGAAGUUUCAUUUUUUAUUUGGGUUAACUGUCCGGCGGUGGUUGAGGUAGUAGACGAAGCCCUUAACAUAAAGGGUGUUCGAAGACUUCAAGGAACACAAAUGGAGUCCAAACAUUACUGUUCCCUUUAAUUUUUUAAAGGACAACCGACAUUUGAAGGAUCAAAUUUAUUUCGUCAAAAGUUGUUCUGCAGAUCAACCCCGAUUUUAUGCGGGGCGAGAUCAACUUUAUACUUACAAUUUGAGGAGAAGGAGUAUUGAGGAUGUCGAAUAUUCACAGAUAGCGGAGGAGCAAUUAGCUCGUCAUUCGUCAAACCUGAUGACCCUCAAGGGAAUGAAACCAGAAAGGAGCAGUAAACUAAUAGAGUAAUUAUAAUUUCAUGUACAAUGAGAAACUUUGCAUUUUUCUGUUCAUCAUAGACGAUGGUCUUAUUAUAUCAGUCUUCCAAACCGUUUUUUCUGACAAAUAAGUUUGAACUUUUUAAUUAGCUAUACCAGUUGUUACAUUAAUUUGCAUCUUCUAUAAAUAAAAAAUCUUGAGUUGCUUUAUUACCACUUAUUUUAUAGUUGUAGCUUGUUACAUUAUUUUUACGAUAGACGUUAGCCUGACUCUUGUAAAACGGAGAGCCUUGUUGGUUUAAGAGCGUGAUUUUAGCUUGUUUGAAUUUUUGUUAUGGUUUGGGAGCGCCACUUUAGUUUGUUUUGAAUUUUGUUAGGAGGGGAUAAAUUAAUAGAAACAGUGAAUCGAAUAAUUAGUCUUGUCCACCAACCUCCAAAAGUUUGUGAAAUUGCGAUCAUGGUGAAAUUCUUAUCUCUAUUCUUGUCCACCAAUCUCUAAAAGUUUGUGAAAUUGCGAUCAUGGUGCAGUUCUUAUCUCAUUAGUUUUAUUGUUCUCGGCUGAUCUUAUGAAAAGUACUCUUGUAACUCUUAGUUGUGUAUUAUUUUCUUUUUAGACGAAUUUCAAAGUCGCAUUAGACAUUUUUUUAACCUUUUCAAGAAACCCCAUAGUUUGGUGCUCUCUUGCAUUUUCGGUGUUAGGGUUUCAGUUUUAUUUAUUAUUAAAUUUGUCAGCGAGAUUCCCUUGCCACAAAUCUCGCCUCAUUCGUCUAAUUAAAUUGAUUUCUUAUUAAUUGCAAUGGCUUGUAAUUAUUUAGACUUGUUAUUCAAGUCAAUUUCUGUAUGCUAUAUAUGUUUGUAUAAAUCAAUUCAAGGAAAAUCAAUUUCUACAUGGUAUCACCUAGGUCUAGGUUAUAAUCUCUCGAGAUCUCACCAUCGCAAAUCCCUCCAGAUUCGUCUAGAUUGAUCUCUCGUUAAUUGUAAUUGGUUGUAAUAAAUUAGACUUGCUAUUCAAGUCAACCUCUGUUUGCUAUAUAUGUUCUACUAAUACACAAAUCAAUUCAAGGAAAAUCAAUUUCUACAAAAAGAUUGUAGUCAGUUCUACAUAUUUCUCAUAUAUUCAUCAUUUGAGCGGUACUUUCUUGAUUCUACUAGCCUUGUAUGUGUUGAAUAAUAUGAAAGUCCCACAUCGGCCAGCUUAAUUACAAAGUAAUUGCAACUUGUAUUAAAUGGUUCCACUUGUUAUAUGAGGUCCAGUAUAAUUGGUGGUGAGCCGCAAACCCAUAUCUUUGAUAUAAUUCCUUCAAGGACAUUCCAAAUUUCCCAUAGAUUAUAAUGCAAACCUCGUCAUAUUUGAAUUCAGGUAAUUUCUUAUCUCAAUUUUUGUAAGCUCUUGUUAUUUACAGUCUUUUGAUUCAAAGUCGUAACUUAUUUAGAGUCUAUCGGAUUAGAAGGUUAUUCUUAAACCCUAGGAAUUAGGGUUUUAGUUUUAAAGCUAGGGCUUGCAUAAAUAUUAAAACGUUGUGCUUUAUUCGAUUAGAUAGCUUAGAAUGAACCUUCUUGUUCUAUUUUGAUUUGGGAUUUUUUCUCUAUCACUGUAGCUUUGAAUCUCUCUUGCUCGUGCUCUCCUAGUGUCCUUAGAAUAAUAUACUGAGACAAUGAUGCGUUACUACCAACGAAGACAAAGGCCGACACAAGUUUCGUCAGAGCUUCCCUUUGAAAUUAUCGUUGAGAUUUUGAGUUGGCUUCCUGUGCUGUCUUUGCUGAGAUUCAAGUGCGUGUGCAAGCAAUGGUUUUUGUUGCUUCAAGACUACAAGUUCAUUGCAAAACACAGAGAUCGGACCUGUUACACCCUCCCACCUUCUUAUCAUUGCGAACGGGAUAAAAAAUUGUUUGCGACUGUUUGCGAUGAAAAUUUCGUGCUUAAAUGUUGUUGUUCUGGCUUGUCUUUGGAGAAGAGUACAACAUCUCAAGUUUGCCGUAUUAGAAAUCCUGCAACCCGCAAAGUGCUUUACUUGCCUGAUGCACAAGUGUGUGACACAGAAUUUAUGGACCUCGGUUUCAAUUCACUAACUGGUGAGUGUAAAGUGUCAUGUGUUUAUUUCAAUAGGGCACAGAAAGAGGUAGGUGUUGAAGUGAUAACAGUUGGAAAGGACGAAACAUGGAGACCUUUGCACAAGCAAAACCAGAAUUGGCUGCGACGAGGCAAAGCGGUGCUGACUCAAUCUUGUUGUGGGGAAGAUAAGGUUGAAUGGGCUCUUCAUUUACCCGAAAUUAUAACCGAGGGGCAUGAUAUGUGCUUACAAAUUCAUUCUCUUGAUCUGUGGAGUGAAUGUCUCACCACUUCUACUCUGCCUGAAGGAGUUUUCGUAGAUUUGGAGAAUCUCCAGACGUUUCUUUGGGAUAACCGUCCAGCCGUUGCUGAUAUAGUAGGGGGAGACCUUCACAUCUUGGUGUUGGUAGACUUCAAGGAACACAAAUGGAGUCAAAACAAGAUCAUCGUUCCCUUGAAAAAUUUAAAGGUCGACGACACAAUUUUGACAGAUGAAAUUGUUAUUAAACGAGCUUGUUCAAAUACACUAAAGUUUCAAAAUGGAGCACAACUUAUUUCCUAUGACAUGGAAAAGAAGACUGUUAUGGUUUUUGACAGUUUAGAACUCUUGAAGAAACGAAUAGCUCUACUUAAGUCAACCCUCAUCUCUCUCAAGGAAAUGAGAUCAGAGAUUAACGGAGUACAAGACUAGUCGGAUUAUAAUUUCACUGCGCAUGGGCUCCUUGUUUUGCCAAAUUUCAUUUUUUCUGUUCAUCUUUUUAUACUGUUUUUGUUACAGUAAGUUUGAACUUUUUUAGUCACCAGUUGUAACAUAUAUAGCACUUAAUGCUAAGAUUUCACUACAUGUUUUGCUGAGUUUUGUGGAAACAUAGCUAGAGGCCCUUAAAUUUUCCCUUGAACUUCUUAAACGUUGGUGCACUUUUGAAGUAAAACCCAUGAUUUCUCGAGUACACAGGAUUACAUUGCUGUGUUUAUUUUCUUUUUUCUUUGUCGUUCGAUUGGAAUUACAUGGUCUAAGAAUUUUGUUACACUUAUCUUUCUUAAGAGAAGUUUGAGCAAUUAUAAAUUCACUACCGAUGAGAAUUUGGUUAGAUUCAAGUGUGCGGGCAAGCAAUGGUGUUUGUUAAUUGGUCAGGGCAAUGAGUUCAUCGCGAAACAUGAGAACUAGAUCUAGUUUGGGAGUGAGGUGCUUAAAAAAAAAGCACCCAUGAAAAAAAGCUGUGAGGGUUUUAGGUGUUUGGUAAACUGAAAAAAAGGGCUUAUUUUGGAAACUGCUGUGAGAAUAAGCUAAAAUCAAAGGAAAAAGUUGAAGCUGCUAUUUGUAGCUUUGGAAAACUGGCUUUUUUUCAAAGCACACGGAGCUACAGUGCUUCUUUAAUGAAAAGACCCACUAUUAGACUGCUUUUUUUUCCAAAAUCACUUUUACAAAAAAGUUUACCAAACACUUUGCUGAUUUAUUUCACAGCCGCUUAUUCUCACAGCACAGCCGCUUAUUCUCACAGCAGCUUUUUUUCAAAGCACAUCAAUACCAAACCAGCCCCUAGACCAGUUAAGUGUGACUUGCUACCGAUGAGAAUUUCAACAUUGUAAAUCGUUAUUUUAGCUUAUUUCUGGAUAAUAGUGGUUCUUCUCAAGUAAGUUUGUCGGAUCAGAAAUCUUGCAAACUGCCAAGUACUUUUACUUGCCCGAUGCGCACGAGGGUGUCAUACAAAUGAUUGUUUUCAGUUCACUCGCUCAUGAGUGUAAAGUUUUCGAUUACUUCUUUAAAUUCAUGAAAAGUUAUAAAUUAUAUUGUUUUGGUGUCCUUGAAAAUAAAUAAACGUAAGCCUAAAUCAGUAACUGGACCAAGGCCUUCCAAUAUGUUUGAGUUAGAAUCCCUAAAGCAUUAAAGGCUGUUAAGCAAAAACCCCAAAUAUUGUUAGGGACCAAAACUUGUGGGAGCUGUUUGAUCCUUUAGCCACCAACUUCAUAAAAAAAAAUUCGGAGUAAUGAGAGGUAGACUAAUUUUUUAGACUAAUUUGUAAAUUAUGUGAUGUACCACCAAUAAAAAAUGAGCACGUUAAUGAACACUUAAAUAAUAAUCCAAUUAUCAACAGUCACAUCAUAUAGUUUACAUAAUUUGGUCUACAUAGUUGAUCUCCCUAGCAUUACUAUUUUUUUUGCUUCGAUUAUGUUUAAACUAUACAACAACAACAACCAAACCUUAUCUCACUAAGUGGAGUUAGCUGAAUGAAUCCUAAAACGCCACUGCGCUCAAUUUGGUUGAAAUGUAGUUAUAAAAAAAUAAAAAAUAAAAAAAUAAAAACCAUCAUCCAAAUUGGAUUAUUCAGUCCUGUUCCAUUAUUGAACUCAAACUAAAUAAUAAGAACAAGAGUAGUUAUACACUUACCAUCUAUUUGUAUAAUCACUUGUAACCUCUUUCCAGUAGAAGUAUGGCCCCACCAAUACAUGUGGGUCUCAUCUCUAUAAGUGAGAUAAUACAAAUAGAUGAUAAAAAUAACAUUUUUGUAAGAACAAAAAAACUACUGAAUCGACUAGUUAACCUUAAAUAAAAGGGAACUUUAACGAAAAUCUCUCAGUACUGUUCACUUUAACGAAAAACCAUAUUUUUACUCUAAAAAGUCAAUCUUGAUACUAUUCACUUACAACAGAUUUUUAUCAUUUUUGUUAAAACUUAAAGUUUUCAAGUUAUUCUCAUUCUUAAAUAAAAUUCAAUUAGGGCCCGGCCCAACAAAACAAAGCCAGCCAGAAACCCAACAGCUCAAGCGAAUAUUUUGUGUAGGGUAGAGUGGAUGUGGAACUUAAAUAUCGGCAGGCAGCGGAGUUUAUUUGAACCACUGACUGACUGAGUGACAGGUGUUUAAUACGAACAAGUUCUUCUCCGUCUGGUUUCAGCAUCGCUUUCGCUUUCUCGGAUCCACUAAUCUUGUCAACAAGUUUGUGAAUUUCCGAUCAUGGUAAAUAUCUGAUCUCUUUAAUUUAAUUGCUGCAUGUUUUUCUUAUUACAAUCUUAUCGUGCCGGAUUCAGGAUUUUAAUCUCGGGAUUGUAAAACAUCAAAAAAAAUUUAACAAGAAAAUAAUGCGAAUUUUUAACUAAUGCAUUUCGUCGAGCACUUGGUGGGUUGGGCAGCUUCUGAGCGAGCUUCUGGGCAUUGGAAAAAUUCUGUUCAACUUUGUUCAAGACCCUUGAUUGCCUCUUUAGUGUCUAGGGUUCAAUUGUUUUUAUUUUUUAUUUUAAUUAAAACCUUGUAGGGUUGUUGCCGGUUCAAUUUUUACAUAUUUCCGGCAAAUUAAUCCGGCUCGAGCAUCGCUUUCUUGUAAUCCAAAGUCCGUAAACAAUAUUUUAUCCUAAUGAGUAUCGGAGUCGCAUAUGAAGGUCUUCCAGUUCUGAUUUGGAUUUGUUAAUUUUGUUUUUUCAUUGCAGCUUUGAUUAAUCCCAUGUUCGAUACUAUGGGAGUCCAAUGUGUCGAUACCAAAGAAGAAGAAGAAGUGCCGCGGCAACAAUUACGAGAGCUUCCCUUUGAUAUUGUUGCUCAGAUUUUGUUGUGGCUGCCCGUGGUGUCUUUGGUGAGAUUCAAGUGUGUCUGCAAGCAAUGGUGUCUGUUAAUUGAGGGCUACAAGUUCAUAGAAAAGCAUAGGGCUCUAACACAUUACGGUUUGCCACCUUGUUAUCAAUGCCAAUGGGAUAAGGAGAGAAUGAAGGGAGUUGCUUCCUGUGGGGAUUUCGAGCUUCAAUGUGAUUGUAGUGGCUUGUAUUUGGAGAAGAGUAAAACUUCUCAAGUUUGCCGUAUUAGAAAUCCUGCAACCCACAAAGUGCUCUACUUGCCCAAGGCACCCGAGGGUACCAGAGUAGUUCUGGACCUCGGUUUUAAUUCCCUUACUGGUGAGUGUAAAGUGGCCUGUGCUUAUCGCCGAGAGGGCAGUUUAGUAGGUGUUGAUGUUAUAACAAUUGGAAAGGAUGAAAUGUGGAGACCCUUGCUCCGCCAAAAGCUGAAUUUUCUGGAACAAGGCAGAUGGGUGGUGAAGCCAAAUUGUUGUGAGGAAGAUAAGGUUAACUGGGCUAUUUAUAUCUCCAAAAUUAUAAAAGAUGAACACAAUGAUGAUUCGUGCCUACAAAUUCAGUCUCUUGAUCUGUGGAGUGAAUGUCUCACCACAACUACUUUGCCCCAGGGAGUUUUCCUAAAUUUGAAGAAUGUUCGGGCUUUUCCUUGGGAUCUCUGUCUAGGCGUUGCUGAAACAGUAGGGGGAGCCAUUCACAUCUUGGUGUUAGAAGACUUCAAGGAACACAAAUGGAGUCGAAACAAGAUCAUCAUUCCUUUGAAAAAUUUAAAGGUUGACUACACAGUUUGGACGGAUCAUUUAGUUCUCACACAAGCUCAUUCUAGCUCACUCAGGUUUCGAAAUGGCCAAGGGCAAGUUCUUUCCUAUGACAUGGAAACUGAGGACCUUGAGGUUUUGGAACGUUCGGAAUUCCUCAAGAAACGACUUGCUCUACGCAAAUCAACCCUCGUGACUGUAAAGGGAAUGAGACUAGAGGAGUAGACUACUAGCUAGAGCAAUUACCAUUUCAGUCCACAUGGGUUUUUGUUUGCAAAAUUUCCCUUUUUGCUUUGCUCAUCUUACUAUAUAUUGAAGCUGUUCAUGUUGAUCUUCAAGAUUUUUGUUAUACUUCUCCCCUUCAAGAGCAAUUUGAACCUUUUUAUAUUUUGUUCUAGACGAAAUAUUUGAAUCAAUUCACUCACUCAUGAGUGUACGUAAAGUGGAAUGUAUUUAUGAUCUCGAUCAAGAGCAAUCGAAAUUUCAGUUACAUCGUUCUUGUCUACAAAAUUACAACUUUAUAUAUGUUCAUCUUAAGAACCAGUGUUUUCACGCAUCUUUUUCUGUGGAAACAAACAAUUAUGUUCACGAUUAACGCGCAAAAAUAUGAUGCUUAAAUAUCACUAGAUUUCCUCCAAAUAGCAUCCAAACAUUUUGAUCUCAUAAACAGGCAAACAAGGCUCUUAAAAAGCCUUAUACAUCAAAUACAUUAAUCCCUUUUAGGGUUUUAGCCAAGCUUUGCAAGAACAUCAUUGAGGGAAGAUACGGUUGCGGUGUAGUACUUCUCUGCUUCCGGGGUGCUCUUGAUCUUUGCUGCAUAGUCCAACUGUCCCCAGACACAAAAAAAACAUAAGUGUAUGAAUCAAUACAAACCACAAUCUAAGUCAAGUAAAAAAAGUGUUUGUGUCGUGGUGAACUUACGCCGUCAAUGUCUUUGAAGAGCUUUCCGGUGAGUUCCUUGAGGGGCUCCUUCUCGGCUUUAGAUUUGGCAGAAAUGACGGUCUUGAGGUCAUAACGGAGAUAUGAGGCUCUGAGACGAAGAUCGUUCUGGACGUAAGGCCAUGCCUUUUUGUCAAUGUACUCCUUGACAGCUAAAAUCUCCUUGGCUGACUCCUUCGCCCUCGCGGCUGCCUGAGCCGGAGUGAGUGGUUGGAUGAAGAACCUCUCCUUCAAUGGCAGGUCAAGGUCUCUUGCCUCAUCCGAGUUUAGGGUUCCAGCUGCCACAACGAUAACAAAUUCACCUCCAUAAGUUCCUCAACACACCCAAUUAACAAUUCAUGCCUUUCAUACUAAAUAUAAUGUGUGGCAAAUCCAAUUCCAAUGAUUAAUAAUGCAAUUAAAUUAAGUGUUUUUUCAAUAAGCACUUGAAAUUUUGUGUUCUAAUAAAAACAAGACUCAUGAGCAAAAGUGCUUCUUACAGAAACAGUCUCAAACGAGUCCUAAAACAUUAUACGUUUUUUCAGCUUCGUAACAAGUUUCUGUAUUAUGUUUUAGUAUUCUAAUGCAAUUGCCAUGCCAAGACUGAAAAGUAGUGACAAGGUCAAGAGUGAAGGGCUUACCCAAUCCCCCGGAGGGUGGUGGAGGAGGACCGACUUUGAUGGGCUUAGCCUCGGCAAGCACAGCUUGGACAAAUGACCCGGAGGCCAAACCAACCGCGACGAGACCAAGCACGGCCCUACGGCUAGUUUCGGGCUCCGAAGGCACUUGCUGGGCUCUAAUGGUGAGCCCGGACCUCGCCACGGCUAGCCUGCCGGUGCUGCUGACCGUGUUCAAG